GCGUAGCCCAGCGGUUAAGGCGCCAGGUUGUGGCCCUGGAGAUCGUGGGUUCAAAUCC
rnacentral:tRNA from 1 species